UACAGAGGGUGCGAGCGUUGUCCGGAAUCACUGGGCGUAAAGGGCGCGUAGGCGGCGCGGUAAGCGUGCGGUGAAAGCCCGGGGCUCAACCCCGGGUCGGCCGUGCGAACUGGGGGGCUCGAGCACUGUAGAGGCAGGCGGAAUUCCGGGUGUAGCGGUGGAAUGCGUAGAGAUCCGGAAGAACACCGGUGGCGAAGGCGGCCUGCUGGGCAGUGGCUGACGCUGAGGCGCGACAGCGUGGGGAGCAAACAGG
rnacentral:rRNA from 1 species